UUAUUGCAGUGUCCUGAUAAUGCUGGUUCUGCAUUUUUUAAUUAUAAACAUACUCACAGCAUCGUAUUGCUAGGGAUUUGUGACGCCAAUUACCUGUUUACACUCGUCGACAUUGGUGCCUAUGGUCGACGUAGCGAUGGUGGAAUUUUCAAAGACUCACUAAUGGGCCAGAAGUUUAAUGAGAAAAAACUGAACGUACCAAAACCCAAAUCACUGUCUGUUGAUAGAAUGCCUUUGCCAUAUGUUCUCGUAGGCGAUGAAGCAUUCCACUUGACUGAUUAUUUACUCCGACCUUAUCCUGGAAAAAGAGGUCUUACCCCAGAUCAAAACGUUUUCAACUACCUUCUCAGCCGUGCUCGAAGAACAGUAGAAAAUGCUUUCGGAAUUUUAGUUAGUGGAGAAUUAAAAAAAAACCUAUUGAAACUACUGUAGAUAAUACAAUAAACAUGGUCCACACCAUCGUAUGUCUCCAUAACUGGCUUCGAAAACGUGAUGAUCGAAACCAAUACAUUUCACCAAACAUGGUCGAUCAAUAUGGUCCUAAUGGUUUUAUUCCCGGACUUUGGAGACAGGAAAUGGAGAAUUCGGCAUUACAAGACAUUAGUGUACGUGGUAAUAAUAAUAAUAAUCGAUAUGCCGCAACUAUUAGAGAUGAAUUUUGUGAUUUUUUCACUGGGGAAGGAGCUGUUCCGUGACAGUAUAAUCGUGACUAA